rnacentral:rRNA from 1 species
AGAGUUUGAUCAUGGCUCAGAACGUACGCUGGCGGCACGCCUAACACAUGCAAGUCGAACGCAGUAGCAAUACUGAGUGGCAAACGGGUGAGUAUAAUGUGGGAAUCUGCCUUUUGGUUCGGAAUAACACGGGGAAACUUGUGCUAAUACCGGAUAAGCCCUCACGGGGAAAGCUUUAAUGCCAAAAGAUGAGCCCGCACUUGAUUAGCUAGUUGGUAAGGUAAAGGCUUACCAAGGCUACGAUCAAUAGCUGUUCUUAGAGGAAGACCAGCCACAUUGGGACUGAGACACGGCCCAGACUCCUACGGGAGGCAGCAGUGGGGAAUCUUGCACAAUGGGGGAAACCCUGAUGCAGCGAUGCCGCGUGAGUGAAGAAGGCCCUUGGGUUGUAAAACUCUUUCGUCGGGGAAGAAAAUGACUGUACCCGAAUAAGAAGGUCCGGCUAACUUCGUGCCAGCAGCCGCGGUAAUACGAAGGGACCUAGCGUAGUUCGGAAUUACUGGGCUUAAAGAGCUCGUAGGUGGUUAAAAUAGUUGAUGGUGAAAUCCCAAGGCUCAACCUUGGAACUGCCAUCAAAACUUUUUAGCUAGAGUGUGAUAGAGGUAAGUGGAAUUUCUAGUGUAGAGGUGAAAUUCGUAGAUAUUAGAAAGAACACCAAAUGCGAAGGCAACUUACUGGGUCACUACUGACACUGAGGAGCGAAAGCAUGGGUAGCGAAGAGGAUUAGAUACCCUCGUAGUCCAUGCCGUAAACGAUGUGUGCUAGACGUUGGAAAUAUAUUUUUCAGUGUCGCAGCGAAAGCAUUAAGCACACCGCCUGGGGAGUACGACCGCAAGGUUAAAACUCAAAUGAAUUGACGGGGACCCGCACAAGCAGUGGAGCAUGUGGU